CCUGACCGCCCUGCAGAGCAGGGAGGCGGAGGGAGGCUGAGGCUUUCCUCCAGCAACAGGAGUCCCAGCCCCUUUCCGUGCUCCGAGUGCGAACACCCUCUCCCACUUCCCCCACGGCCCUCUUGCAAUUAACUCCUGGUGCUGAUGACAGCCCUGGGAAAUGUUAAAAUAAGAUGUGGUGGCUCUGGAAGGCAUGAGUCAGGGUUGGGCAGCAGCCAAAGCUGCCACCAGUCUCCCUUCCCCAGCUGCCGGCGGACUCUGGACAGGGAGCCGGCAGCCCCAGGAAGCAUUCGUGGUGGAGACCCGGAGGUGGCUGCCUCACUUCCCUCCCAAGCUUAGGGUCCUCUGUGCCCCUGGGUCCCAGGUGGGGCAAAAGCAGCUGCCAUUGGCUGGCUGGAGCCCCACCCCCGGGCCUACAGAGGGUCCCCCUCUUUUCUUCACCUCUAGCAAAUCCCCUUCUCCCCUCUCUUCCUCUGGUUCCCUGCCAGCUCCCGGUCCCCUGGAAUGCUGGUUCCAAUCUGGCUUCCAAAUCUCCUUUCAGCCAGACACCGGCCCUCACAUCACCUCCCCUCCUGCUCGGCUGCCCUCAUUCUUUGGAUCCCUAGGCUGACACUCCUGCCGGCCCUUCAUCUUCCCUUACUGAUCCCAGAAUGAGGGACGGAGCGAGCACCUCCACGCUACAAAUCCAGGUCCGUGUCCUGCAGAUGCAGCGGUCCUGGCUGCAGGUUUGGGGGAGUCCAGCGGGGAGGCCCCCGGGCCAGCAGAGCCUCCCAGAGACGCCGCCCCCCCCCCCCCCCCGAGGCACUGGCCGGUGCCAGCACGUGGCCCGAGCCCCGCUUGUCCAGACCCGGGGCUCCUCACACCGCCUUCUCAGGGGCAGACGCACACCGCCCACGUCCAGUGGGGGUGACUCAGGCUGUACUUGGGCCCGGGCUCCGAGCCCAGCAUCGCCCCCACCCCCUCCGAGAAGAGAAGGGUGAAGAGACCAGGCUCUUGGCCUCCAGAGCCUUGCCGCAAACCCCGGGCCCGAGCCCGGCUUCCCAUCUACGAAGCGGAGGAAGGAACGCCCGCCUGGCGAGACCGUUGGCAACACUGGGUGCCAUAUUCACGCGACGCAUUCAGCAGAGUCUGGAAAAUACGAAAACGGAAGAAGACAACCACAAGCCUCCCGUCCAUGUCACACACCCUGCCCCCCAAACACACAGAGCCCGGGAUCCCACCAGAGGGGCAAGCUGGUAGUUCCACAUGCCGUCCUCAGAGGCGUCACCGACAAAAACCACUAGCCUUCUCCGUGUCAAGCCCCGGGUGGACCCUCAGACAAGCACAUCCUGACCGGGGACAGCCCAGAAAUUGCAACUCAGAAAUGACCGGACUCAGAAAUGACGGCCCCCCCCCCCCCCGCCCCCGCGGAGCCUCAGUGACCCAACACCUAUCCCAGCCUUGGCACCUGCUCGGCACCCACGCCCCCUCCUGCCCCACCAGGCUCCUCCCCUGCCCUUCACUUUGCUUAUCUUCACACCAGAAGAUGAGAGCAAGGGCACACCCAGCCUCAUCAGGCUUUCCCAAUUACUUUUGCCUGAAGCCCCAUGAGUAGGAGCCUGCCCACAGCCUAAGACGGCUCAGAAGAGGAAGAAAACAAGGGGAACCUACACUUUGGGUGGUUCCCAGAAAUACGAUAUGGAAGAGGUCUGACCCCUGGGAAGGCUAGCAACUGGACAGGAGACAACAGUACUGCCUUAGGAACUCAUCACGUUUGAACUCAUUGCAUUUCCUUCAAGCACUCACUCACCUGGGCCCUGCCUGGGCAAGGGGUGCCCGCAGCCCAAGACCCCCAGAAGCCUGACCAAGCAGGAUAGCUCCAGCCACCGCUCUCACGGGCAUCUCUGACUCAACCUGCUCAAAUCCAGACGCUUUAUCUCCCUCCCCACACGCACCCCUCACCGCCAUCCGCCACCUCGGUCAACGGUACCACUAUCCGCCCACAGUCACUCAGAGAGCCGGGGCUCACCCUGGAUCCUCCCCCCUGCCGUGUUUUCCAAACUUAUUAGUCACCGAGUCCAGUUCACGUGUAAAAUUUCCCUCUCCUCUCCUGUCCCCUUCACCUGGGUUCAGAACCUCAUCCUCGCUCACCUGGACUUCUGCAAAAGCCCUUCUUAUUCUCUCUUCCCCAGUCUCUCAUUCCACCACUGCCGGGGAAGGGCUUCCGAAAUGAACCAAACAAGUCGUUGUCCUGCUUCAACAGCUUCCACUGGCUCCUUACUGCCUAGAGUCAUGAUGUCCAAACUACUUUGACUGCUGUGUCUAAUCAAACAGAUGCUGGUAUCCAUCCCUAAGAACUUCCCGGGAGAGGUCCCAACAGAAGGCUCUGUCGCUGAAACUGAGCUCAAAUUACUUGGGCUCAGAGGAAAGAACCAUAGGCUCUGCUGGCUGGAAGGAACCCCAGAGGUUCAUCGAUGGCAAGCUCCAGUCUCUAAAUUCAGCUCACUCCAGAAAUAACAGCCUCUACCCACUCCCAAGCGUGGGAAGAGAUCGGGAACAGCAUUUCUGAAACUUCAAGGUACAUACGAAUCUCCCAGGGAUCUUGUCAUACAGAUCCUGAGUCCGUAGGUCUGUCGGGGCAAGGGGGAGGUGGGGUGGGGGUUCUGCCUCUCUAACAAUCUCCCAGGUGAUGCACGGAUGCUGGUGGCCCCACAGACACACCUGGAGCAGGAAGGAUCUGGAAGGCCUGCUGCCCUCAGAAGCUCCUGCUUGCAUAGCAGGCGUGCAGGGCGUGGGCAGACUGAGCUUCCCAAGGUACAAGCUAUGUAUUUUUUCCAACUACAGAUCGAACCACAGUGCUCUUUACCACCACAGAAAAUAAGUGUUGGAUGGAUGAGUGGAUGGUUGCCGAUACGAAGGUCGAAUGUGCCAUCAGAACAACUGGCAAAUUAAUACACUGUCCUAAAAAUUGCAUAUCCAAGUAAAAAUGUCCUGGGGGAAAAUGAAGGAAGAGGGAAGGAAGGCAGGAGAGAAA